rnacentral:rRNA from 1 species
CAAUAGCGUAUAUUUAAGUUGUUGCAGUUAAAAAGCUCGUAGUUGGAUUUCGGUUAAGAGCGACCGGUCCGCCGUUUGGUGUGCACUGGUUGGUUUUAACUUCCUGUAGAGGACGUGCUCUGGGUUUAACGACCUGGACUCGGAGUCUACGUGGUUACUUUGAAAAAAUUAGAGUGUUCAAAGCGGGCUUACGCUUGAAUAUUUCAGCAUGGAAUAACACUAUAGGACUCCUGUCCUAUUUCGUUGGUCUCGGGACGGGAGUAAUGAUUAAGAGGAACAGUUGGGGGCAUUCGUAUUUCAUUGUCAGAGGUGAAAUUCUUGGAUUUAUGAAAGACGAACUUCUGCGAAAGCACUUGCCAAGGAUGUUUUCAUUAA